AAUGAACGCUGGCGGCAUGCCUAACACAUGCAAGUCGAACGAGACCUUCGGGUCUAGUGGCGCACGGGUGCGUAACGCGUGGGAACCUGCCUUUAGGUUCGGAAUAACUCAGAGAAAUUUGAGCUAAUACCGGAUGAUGUCUUCGGACCAAAGAUUUAUCGCCUUUAGAUGGGCCCGCGUUGGAUUAGCUAGUUGGUGGGGUAAAGGCCUACCAAGGCGACGAUCCAUAGCUGGUCUGAGAGGAUGAUCAGCCACACUGGGACUGAGACACGGCCCAGACUCCUACGGGAGGCAGCAGUGGGGAAUAUUGGACAAUGGGCGAAAGCCUGAUCCAGCAAUGCCGCGUGAGUGAUGAAGGCCUUAGGGUUGUAAAGCUCUUUUACCCGAGAUGAUAAUGACAGUAUCGGGAGAAUAAGCUCCGGCUAACUCCGUG
rnacentral:rRNA from 1 species